AGUAAUAUGCCUGAUAAAAGGAUUAUUUUGAUAGAAUAUAAAUGUAAUUUAAAUUACUAUUACUU
rnacentral:tRNA from 1 species